GACGAACGCUGGCGGCGUGCUUAACACAUGCAAGUCGAACGAAGUGGCGAACGGGUGAGUAACGCGUAAUCAACCUGCUCUUCAGAGGGGGACAACAGUUGGAAACGACUGCUAAUAUCGCAUACUGAAGGAGGGGAGUGCGUCGGAUAAGCUAGAUGAAGGGGAAACGGCCCACCAAGGCGAUGAUCAGUAGCCGGUUUGAGAGAAUGAACGGCCACAUUGGGACUGAGACACGGCCCAGACUCCUACGGGAGGCAGCAGUGGGGAGUCUUCCGCAAUGGACGAAAGUCUGACGGAGCAACGCCGCGUGAGUGAUGACGGCCUUCGGGUUGUAAAGCUCUGUUAUUCGGGACGCGGUACCGGAAUAGAAAGCCACGGCUAACUACGUGCCAGCAGCCGCGGUAAUAC
rnacentral:rRNA from 1 species